UCGGGGUUUGAUAAACUGCAG
rnacentral:piRNA from 1 species